GACGAAGGGGGCUAGCGUUGUUCGGAAUUACUGGGCGUAAAGUGUGCGCAGGCGGCCGCGCAAGUCGAGUGUGAAAGCCCCGAGCUUAACUUGGGAAUUGCGCUCGAAACUACGUGGCUGGAGUGUGGCAGAGGAAGGUGGAAUUCCACGUGUAGCGGUGAAAUGCGUAGAGAUGUGGAGGAACACCGAUGGCGAAGGCAGCCCCCUGGGUCAACACUGACGCUCAUGCACGAAAGCGUGGGGAGCAAACAGG
rnacentral:rRNA from 1 species